rnacentral:rRNA from 1 species
GAUGAACGCUGGCGGCGUGCCUAAUGCAUGCAAGUCGAGCGACGCAUACUGGAGGGGUAACCCACCGGUAUGACGGAGCGGCGAACGGGUGAGUAACACGUGAGUAACCUGCCCCGAAGACCGGGAUAGCCCAGGGAAACCUGGAUUAAUACCGGAUAUUCUCGAAUGUCCUCCUGGACUAUCGAGGAAAUGCUUUUGUGCUUCGGGAUGGACUCGCGUCCUAUCAGCUUGUUGGUGGGGUAACGGCCUACCAAGGCAUCGACGGGUAGCUGGUCUGAGAGGACGAUCAGCCACACUGGGACUGAGACACGGCCCAGACUCCUACGGGAGGCAGCAGCAGGGAAUCUUGCGCAAUGGGCGAAAGCCUGACGCAGCAACGCCGCGUGGGGGAUGACGGCCUUCGGGUUGUAAACCCCUUUCAGAAGGGAAGAAAUUGACGGUACCUUCAGAAGAAGCCCCGGCUAACUACGUGC